rnacentral:lncRNA from 1 species
AACUACACAGCCCGGAUUCAGGCCACAUCUCUCUCUGGGAAUGGGUCGUGGACAGAUCCUGUGUUCUUCUAUGUCCAGGCCAAAACAGGAUAUGAAAACUUCAUCCAUCUGAUCAUCGCUCUGCCCGUCGCUGUCCUGUUGAUCGUGGGAGGGUUGGUGAUUAUGCUGUACGUCUUCCAUAGAAAGAGAAAUAACAGCAGGCUGGGGAAUGGAGUGCUGUAUGCCUCUGUGAACCCGGAGUACUUCAGCGCUGCUGAUGGUGCGAUUGCUGGGUGUGGUGUCCCAAGGCCAGCCAACACUGGUCAUCAUG